UACGGAAGGUCCGGGCGUUAUCCGGAUUUAUUGGGUUUAAAGGGAGCGUAGGCCGGAGAUUAAGCGUGUUGUGAAAUGUAGAUGCUCAACAUCUGAACUGCAGCGCGAACUGGUUUCCUUGAGUACGCACAAAGUGGGCGGAAUUCGUGGUGUAGCGGUGAAAUGCUUAGAUAUCACGAAGAACUCCGAUUGCGAAGGUAGCUCACUGGAGCGCAACUGACGCUGAAGCUCGAAAGUGCGGGUAUCGAACAGG
rnacentral:rRNA from 1 species